rfam:Capsicum annuum cultivar Zunla-1 chromosome 5, whole genome shotgun sequence
ACCUUAUGAUUUGGACAUUGAGCUAGCUUUCCAUUAAACCUCUCCCACACUUCAAACUAGGGUUCUUCAUUUAAUUGCCUAAAGUUUAAAAUCUCAUCCCACUU